GCCAAACAGCUAGCUUAACCACUUAAUAUCCUAACAGUAUAAUUAAAAUAAAAUAAACCACAAACUAAAAAUUAAAUCAUUCUUUCACCUAAGUAUGGGAGACAGAAAAGGUCCUACGUAAGCGAUAGAAAUAGUACCGCAAGGGAAAGCUGAAAGAGAAAUGAAAUAACCCAUAUAAGCACCAAAAAGCAAAGACUAAACCUUGUACCUUUUGCAUCAUGAUUUAGCCAGCACACCCAAGCAAAAAGACUUAUAGUUUGAAGCCCCGAAACCAGAUGAGCUACCCCGAGACAGCCUCUAUAGGGCAAAUCCGUCUCUGUGGCAAAAGAGUGGAAAGAGCUCCGGGUAGAAGUGACAGACUUACCGAAUCUGGUGAUAGCUGGUUACCUAAGAAAUGAAUAAAAGUUCAGCCUCAUUUGACCUCAAACCAAAAGUACUAAAAAGACAUAGAGAUACAUAUGAGAGUUAGUUAAAGGGGGUACAGCCCCUUUAACCAAGGACACAACCUUCUCAGGUGGGAAAAGAUCAUAAUACCUAAAACAUACUGUUUCAGUGGGCCUAAAAGCAGCCACCUAAGUAGAAAGCGUUAAAGCUCAGACAGAAAAAAGUUUAUUAUUCUGAUAAUACCUCUUAUCCCCCUAAAUAUAUUAGGUAAACCCAUGCCUACAUUGGAGAUAUUAUGCUAAAAUGAGUAACAAGAAGGCUCACCCUUCUCCCAAGCACAAGUGUAAGCCAAACCGGACCAACCAUUGGCAAAUAACGAACCCAACCAAAAGAGAGUAAUGUGAACCUCAAACAAAACCAAGAAAAAUUCACAACCAAAACAUCGUUAUCCCCACACUGGAGCGCCACUAAGGGAAAGACUAAAAGAAAAGGAAGGAACUCGGCAAACACAAGCCUCGCCUGUUUACCAAAAACAUCGCCUCUUGCAACAUAACUAAGUAUAAGAGGUCCAGCCUGCCCAGUGACAAAGUUUUUAACGGCCGCGGUAUUUUGACCGUGCAAAGGUAGCGCAAUCACUUGUCUUUUAAAUAAAGACCUGUAUGAAAGGCCAAACGAGGGCUUAGCUGUCUCCCAUUUCCAGUCAGUAAAAUUGAUCUACCCGUGCAGAAGCGGGUAUAUAAAUACAAGACGAGAAGACCCUUUGGAGCUUAAGGUUAAAAUUUAACCACGUCAAGCAAUUAACACAAUAAUAGUAAACCUAGUGGUACAUAAAUUACACCUUCAGUUGGGGCGACCAUGGAGGAAAAAAGAGCCUCCAAGUGGAAUGGGAUAAUUCCCCAGAACCAAGAGAUACAUCUCCAAGCCACAGAACAUCUGACCAUAAAUGAUCCGGCUAAAAGCCGAUCAGCGAACCAAGUUACCCUAGGGAUAACAGCGCAAUCCUCUCCCAGAGCCCAUAUCAACGAGAGGGUUUACGACCUCGAUGUUGGAUCAGGACAUCCUAGUGGUGCAACCGCUAUUAAGGGUUCGUUUGUUCAACGAUUAACAGUCCUACGUGAUCUGAGUUCAGACCGGAGCAAUCCAGGUCAGUUUCUAUCUGUAAUGCUACUUCUCCCAGUACGAAAGGACCGGAAAAGAGGAGCCCAUGCUUAAAGCACGCUCCACUCCUAAUUUAUGAAAACAAAUUAAUGCAAGUUAAGGAAGAGCCAAAACCAAAAUAACCCAAAACAAGGGUAU
rnacentral:rRNA from 1 species